rnacentral:rRNA from 1 species
CCUACGGGUGGCAGCAGUGGGGAAUAUUGGACAAUGGGGGCAACCCUGAUCCAGCCAUGCCGCGUGUGUGAAGAAGGCCCUCGGGUUGUAAAGCACUUUCAGUGAGGAAGAACGCCUGGUGGUUAAUACCCAUCAGGAAAGACAUCACUCACAGAAGAAGCACCGGCUAACUCCGUGCCAGCAGCCGCGGUAAUACGGAGGGUGCGAGCGUUAAUCGGAAUUACUGGGCGUAAAGCGCGCGUAGGUGGCUUGAUAAGCCGGUUGUGAAAGCCCCGGGCUCAACCUGGGAACGGCAUCCGGAACUGUCAAGCUAGAGUGCAGGAGAGGAAAGUAGAAUUCCCGGUGUAGCGGUGAAAUGCGUAGAGAUCGGGAGGAAUACCAGUGGCGAAGGCGGCCUUCUGGACUGACACUGACACUGAGGUGCGAAAGCGUGGGUAGCAAACAGGAUUAGAUACCCGGGUAGUC